CCUCCUGGACUUCAGCUCCACUGUUCUGGAGGACUUGAUGGAGAUGUUGUCCACCUCUCUCCAUGGUUCGACUCUGUUGUUGUUUGAUCUGAAGGUGAAGUUGGUCUCUGAACACGAGCUGAGCUCCAGAGAUCUUCUCACCUGUCCUUCACCUCUGAGUCUGUGAGGACGGGUCCGGGUCCGGGUCCGGGUCCAAGUCCAGGUCCGGGUCCGGGUCUGGAUCAGAGACUGUCUCUGCAGGAAACCAGAGUCACAGCUCUUCUCCUUCUCCUUCUUCUU